rnacentral:lncRNA from 1 species
CUACUUUUAGUUAACUCUCAUCCUGAAGAUCUACUUAGUUUUAGUCAUUGUGAUUGUAAGAGGACUUUAUCUUAAAUCAUUCAUAUUGUUUGGAUGCUGAGUCCCCUUCUUUCCUCUUCUUUCUCUGUAUAUGUCUUUGAAGAGAUGGUAUGCAUUUUUAUAUCAUGCUCUCAAAUAACUUUUAGAUGUGCAAUCCUGUCCACUUGUAGCUCUGCAUCAAUAUCUGUAAUGUUAUCAAAAUUACACCAACUAUAUGGAGCAUCCCCAUUCAAUGAGUUUAAGGUUUAACUGAAAAGAUGAAGCAAGAAUGCCUAUAAUUUAAAAAAUAGAAGUAAAUCCUAGUCCUGAACCUUGAAGAGAUUUGUGGAGAAAUGAAUUGGCAAAAUUCAGAGUGCUUCAUAAAAGACUGAUGGCAAGAUUAUAACAGAGUAAGAGUAGUUGGUAGGACAUUUGAAGAAAAAAGAUCAAGUCCAUUUACAUCAGGAAGUAAUAUUUCAUAAUAUAUAAUGGCUUUGUGUUUUGAGACACAGGAUGGUGAGAAUACUUUCUUCGUGCUACAAUAUUCAUAGACAUGUUUUGCUGAGUUAUUUGUUUAUCCUCUUUAAUUAUAAAAUUAUGAUAAUACUUCAAAAUAUUGCUGUCCUGUUCA